rnacentral:rRNA from 1 species
CUGCAGCUCAAGUGGUGAUCAUUAUUAUUGGGCCUAAAACGUCCGUAGCCGGUUUAGUAAAUGCCUGGGUAAAUCGUGUAGCUUAACUAUACGACUUCCGGGUAGACUGCUAAACUUGAGACCGGGAGAGGCUAGAGGUACUCCUGGGGUAGAGGUGAAAUUCUGUAAUCCUAGGGGGACCACCAGUGGUGAAGGCGUCUAGCUAGAACGGGUCUGACGGUGAGGGACGAAGCCCUGGGGCACAAACCGGAUUAGAUACCCGAGUAGUCC